AUUGAACGCUGGCGGCAUGCCUUACACAUGCAAGUCGAACGGCAGCACGGACUUCGGUCUGGUGGCGAGUGGCGAACGGGUGAGUAAUGUAUCGGAACGUACCUUUCAGUGGGGGAUAACGUAGCGAAAGUUACGCUAAUACCGCAUAUUCUGUGAGCAGGAAAGCAGGGGAUCGAAAGACCUUGCGCUGAUUGAGCGGCCGAUAUCAGAUUAGCUAGUUGGUGGGGUAAAGGCCUACCAAGGCGACGAUCUGUAGCGGGUCUGAGAGGAUGAUCCGCCACACUGGAACUGAGACACGGUCCAGACUCCUACGGGAGGCAGCAGUGGGGAAUUUUGGACAAUGGGGGCAACCCUGAUCCAGCCAUGCCGCGUGAGUGAAGAAGGCCUUCGGGCUGUAAAGCUCUUUCGGCCGGGAAGAAAUCGCAUAGGCUAAUACCCUGUGUGGAUGACGGUACCGGAAUAAGAAGCACCGGCUAACUACGUG
rnacentral:rRNA from 1 species